UGAAUCUGAACUGAAGGCUCUCUCUGUGGAACAAUAAACAAAGUUGAGAAGCCCACUUGCAACAGGAUCUGAGCUGGCUGAUGGCAGUGCGCAGCUGACAGAUUUCAUAGUUACCUUUCAGCACCACCUCCAAAACCUGCAUGCAAAACUGCCCCAAAGAAACUGAUGAAAGGGCGAGAGAAAGCAUUUCAGUUCACAAAGAAUGAAUUGAAAAGUUUCAGGAUUGGGGCUUAAAUACAUUUGGCUUAGAUGGAGGGCCCACGAAAUCAGCUGUGGGGCAUCUUCCACACAGGCGUGGAAUUCCACUGGAGGUCAGGAGCCAUGGAAAAGCACCCUGUGCAAUGUGAGAAGGGAACACGAGAAGGGCCUCAAGGAGUAGAAGAGUUCUUCAGACCAUAGUAUGCAGCUGAUACUAACUAUGGGAUACUGUGGGAGUAUCCCAGGAGGAGUAAUAUCAAGGAGCCAGGAGCCAAGAGGAGGAAU